rnacentral:rRNA from 1 species
AAAUAGAUACCCCGGGUAGUCCCAGCUGUAAACGAUGCGCGUUAGGUGUAUCGGUGACCACGAGUCACCGAGGUGCCGAAGGGAAACCGUGAAACGUGCCGCCUGGGAAGUACGGUCGCAAGGCUGAAACUUAAAGGAAUUGGCGGGGGAGCACCACAACAGGUGGAGCCUGCGGUUUAAUCGGACUCAACGCCGGGAAGCUCACCGGAUAAGACAGCUGAAUGAUAGCCGGGUUGAAGACUCUGCUUGACUAGCUGAGAGGAGGUGCAUGGCCGUCGUCAGUUCGUACUGUGAAGCAUCCUGUUAAGUCAGGCAACGAGCGAGACCCACGCCAACAGUUGCCAGCAUGUCCUCCGGGAUGGUGGGGACACUGUUGGGACCGCCUCUGCUAAAGAGGAGGAAGGAAUGGGGCAACGGUAGGUCAGCAUGCCCCGAAUUAUCCGGGCUACACGCGGGCUACAAUGGUCAGGACAAUGGGUAUCAACACCGAAAGGUGAAGGCAAUCUCUAAACCUGUCCUAGUUCGGAUUGUGGCUGCUAACCG